GACGAACGCUGGCGGCGUGCUUAACACAUGCAAGUCGAACGGAAAGGCCCUACUUUUCUGGGGUGCUCGCGUGGCCAACGGGUGAGUAACACGUUAGUAACCUUCCCUUGACUUCGGGAUAACCUCAGGAAACCCGGGCUAAUACCGGAUAGACGCUCCUGCUGCCAGGUGGGGGUUCGAAAGUUUGGGCGGUUGGAGAUGGGCUCGCGGCUUAUCAGCUCGUUGGUGGGAUAGUGGCUUACCAAGGCUGUGCCGGGUAGCCGGCCUGAGAGGUGGACCGGCCACAUUGGGACUGAGAGACGGCCCAGACUCCUACGGGAGGCAGCAGUGGGGAAUAUUGCACAAUGGGCGGAAGCCUGAGACAGCAACGCCGCGUGCGGGAUGACGGGCUUCGGGUUGUAAACCGCUUUCGCCUGUGACGAAGCGUGAGUGACGGUAAUGGGUAAAAAAGCACCGGCUAACUACGUG
rnacentral:rRNA from 1 species